rnacentral:misc_RNA from 1 species
CCUUCGGAAAACACUUGAGUAAAUUUACAGCUUUCUCACGUGAGCGUUAUGGCAACUGAUGAAGCAGCGGAUCAAUCGGACUUGUCUUGCAUAGAGGAGAGUCUCAUGAGUCUAGAGAAAUUGGAUAGAGCAUCUCCUGAUUUAUGGCCUGAGCAGAUUCCAGGUGUACAUGAGUUUGUUGCUCAAAAUUCACCGCAGACAGAACCAUGUUUUUGGGCUGCGAUGUCGCAGGAUGACAUAAGCCAUGUGCAUCAACUGGGUAAUUUGUCAAUGACCGGGCUUAUCUCGGAAGUGAAAAGACUGCACGAUUUAGCUUAUCAACUGGGUCUAGAAGAGGCUAAGGAAAUGACACGCGGCAAAUAUUUGAAUAUAUUUAAACAUAAAUAAUUAAUUUUAGAUUUGCAAAAAAUAAAAUUCAUAAAAAUGCAGUACUAUAAUCGGCAUUCUUAAGAAACGUUUCGAGACGUUUUUUUAUAUUUUUCUAACUUUAAGAAUUUUCUAAAAUCCACUUUGUGUAUCUCUGUACAUUUACAAAUGCAGAUGGAAAAAUGGUGCUUGAGUCACAACUAGACCCAAAUGAUAGGAUUCCAACCUGAUUAAAAAAUAAAAAAUGAAAAACAUAAAUAUGUGAACUACGUCUGUAGUAUAUGUAAAUAUUUAUGUUGAUAACAUACCAAGAAAUAUAUGUCCGCAUAUUUGUAUAACAGAGGACUACCGCUGUAACUUGAGCAAGGUUCACAGUUUCCUUUGGCGCAUAAUUCAACAGAUAGAGCUUGGCUUAUAUAGUCCGAGCACUGCUGCUUAGCCGACAACAGUGCAUGUACUUCCUAGGCUGACGUAUCUGUCUUCCGGUAUAAAGCAGAUUGGUUGAGCUGUGGCUGAAGAAGACCGGAUUGCUAUUUCCUCCCAUAUUGAGGCUGUGAUCAUCACAGUAUCUUCGACUGUAUAUUUAAGAACUGUACAUACCUGUAAAUUCGAUAGCCUUCUUCAAGCGAAGUAAGGCAACGUUGUUGGAAUAACUUGCGGCGUUGUAGCCCGGAUGUUUUACUACAUACGAUAUGUCGUGGCUACUGAUUUUGUGUCCGCAAAACAAAUUAUUACAAUCUGGAUUCGACUCUGUAUUAUAUUCACCAAUAAGCACAGAGCAUCUAAAGAUAAAUAAGGAUUAUUAUAAUUACUGCAUGCUACAAUUUAAUGCUACGAUCGAAAAUAUGAGUAACGAUCAUUCGUUAUAUUUUAUUUUCGACUGCUAUAUACGUACAAUUUGUAUCUGUCCGAUUUCGCGAGUGCGCAUGUAGCUGUAGUCAAUACAGUACGCUCAUUAACAAUCACGCCAUUGCACGAGUAUUUGAUCUCACCCGUUAAUGUAUCUAAAAGCGAAUUCUUGCUAACAGUCUGAAAACGCAUGUCUUAUAUAAUAAAAGAAAUAUAGUUAAC